rnacentral:tRNA from 1 species
UCCCUGUUAGCUCAGUGGUAGAGCACUCGGCUGUUAACUGAGGUGUCGCUGGUUCGAAUCCAGCACGGGGAG